rnacentral:ncRNA from 2 species
GGACGAACCCUUGGAGAGAUCCAGUCUGCAAAAUAAAAGCAGAAAAUGGACGCCGAAGGCGCAAGUGUUAGGCAAACUAACGUGAAACGCUCAGGCAAAAGGACAGGGGAGAAAAG